GUAGAGACAGGAUUUCACCAUGUUGCCCAGGCUGGUCUCAAACUCCUAAGCUCAAGCGAUCUACCCACCUCUGCCUCCCAAAGUGCUUCUUUGCUUUAAAUUGAAGAAAAGCCAAGGUGGAAAACUGUAGGUUUUGAUAGAGGCCAAAUCCCUUGAUUCUGCAGUUGGCUGACGCCAUGAUGUGUGAUGGCUCUGAGGUCUGCAACUCUGGCUUUGCUAGAACGAAGUGAGACCAUCUUCUCUCUUCAUACAGAAGUGUGUGGAGGAUGUGAAGCACAGUGGGGAGGUGGGAGGGCUGGACCACGCCCCCAGGCAGUAACUUGCCCCUUUGUUUGGCUUCCCAGAUUCCUCCUGGUUGUUUUAGGUGGAUCUAGAAAAGAUUGCCUCAUACAGCACUGCCUGUUCAGUAGAAAGAUGUGUCACUUUUUUUAUAGCCUCAGAUCUUUUGCCUCUGAUUGAGGAGGCAAAUGGAGGAGAGAGAAGUUUUGUUUUACCUCCCUUGAGGUGGCUGUUCUACACUGUUUUAGGUGUCAUCACAUAGAGAAAGCAUCCAUUGUUGUCUGCGGUUUAGCCCCUUAGACCUUUUAAGUCACUGAAAGAUCUCUGCACUAGCAGUAAAGUAACUUGUUUUCAGUAUUAUUUUUAUUUUCAUAUUUCCAAAUCUAAAUAUAAGGUUUUAACACAGGGACUUUUUGGAGCUGCUGGAUGAUUUUUGCCUUAGAAACCACUAAGACUGAGUAUUCAGGGCAUGAUGUUCAUGUAUCUGAGACAAAUUUAGAAAUACACAUAAUCUAAUGAAGGAUUUUUGUCCCAGGUAUAUACCACUGCAGGUCAAGCUCUGUAUAAGGGGAUUUGUAGUUGUGAAUGCCAAGGGCUUGGUUUUGUAGAAGGUAGGUUUGAGUAUAUAGUUUAGAUGUUCCUUAUGUUGAUUGACACUUGGUGGCUCUUCAGUGGUUUGAAGAUGCCAGAAAAGAACGGGAAUGGCCAGAAAAAUCUAGAAACUAUAAUGAAAGUACUUACAAGUUGAAUAUAGCCAUAAUAGAGCUGGACUGUGCUAGAAGUGACUAAGGCUGGCAGUGGAAUGGGAAGUUCAUUAGGCCCAUGGGGACUGAGGAG